GGCAGAAAGCAUCGUGCUCCUUGUUGUGAACUUCAAGGCACGUCGCGCUUUGGGAGGUGCAAGACCUGGCGCCUCAAACGGGGACCGGUCAAACCUGCAGACACACGUCCCUUGUGGCGACCUGCACAUUCAGGCAUGACCUCACGGGGGUAAGACGACCCGCUAGACUUAAGCAUAUUAAUCAGCGGAGGAAAAGAAACUAACAAGGAUUCCCCUAGUAACUGCGAGUGAAGAGGGAAGAGCUCAACGUGUGAAUCUGAUGGGGAUUAAAACCUCGUUCGAGUUGUGCACUAUUGAGUCUGGAUCAGCGUACGGAAGCUUUCGGCGGAUGUCCAAUGAAACAUGGCACCACAGUGGGUCACAGUCCUGUACACGCCUAUAGAGCAUCUACGCCUAUGACCACCGCUCAUCGAGUCGCGUAGUUUUGUAUUGCUGCGCUAAUUGGGAGGUAGAGCCCUUCUAAAGCUAAAUAUUAUGGCAUGACCGAUAGCAAACAAGUACCGUGAGGGAAAGGUGAAAAGCAACCAUGCAGAAUGGGUUGAAACAGUAGUGAAAGUGCUACCGGGAUAAGGGCUAUUGAUUGCAAGUGCGGAUCGCAUGUGCUUUAGUGCUAUGCUUACUGCCGGCGUGCAUCGAUUAAGGACCGGGGAGAACAGGGCUUUGGAGAUUCGGCUCGGCCUCGAGUGUUGCAAUCCAGAUGCCAGCUGAGCCCCCCUGAU
rnacentral:rRNA from 1 species